UAGCCAUGGUGUGGGCACGUGAGAAGUAAGUCUUUGAACCAUUCCCAACACUCGAAGAAAGUCUCAUCUCUUUCUUGGGAAAAGUUUAUUAUGUUUCGUCUAAGAGU